rnacentral:rRNA from 1 species
UGGCGGAGCCAUCCUUGGGAUACCACCCUUGUAGUACUGGGACUCUAACCAUAGGCCAUGAAUCUGGUCUUGGGACACUGUCAGGUGGGCAGUUUGACUGGGGCGGUCGCCUCCCAAAAGGUAACGGAGGCGCUCACAGGUUCUCUCAGUACGGUCGGAAAUCGUACGUAGAGUGUAAAGGCAAAAGAGAGCUUGAUUGCAAGACAUACAGGUCGAGCAAGGAUGAAAAUCGGACUUAGUGAUCCGGUGGUUCUGCGUGGAAGGGCCA